rnacentral:tRNA from 2 species
AUGGUUUAACCCCCUCCCCUACUA